rnacentral:rRNA from 1 species
UUCUACAGCCAUGCCACCCUGAACGUGCCCGAUCCCAUCUGAUCUCAGAAACUAAGCAGGGUUGGGCAUGGUUAAUACUUGGAUGGGAGACCACCUAGGAAGACCAGGUGUUGUAGGCA